rnacentral:tRNA from 1 species
GAGGGUGUAGCUCAGUGGUAGAGCACAUGCUUAGAAUGCAUGAGGUCCUGGGUUCAGUCCCCAGUACCUCUG